GUUGAGACCAAAUAAUUCGGGAUUGCCCCAUAGUUUCAGUAGCUGCGGUGGUAUUUGUAAAAACAAGAACUACGCAUCAAUCUCAAACAAGUUGGGGGUGGCUAUAUGAAUCCUCAGUAGUAGUAGUAGCAGCAUUACAACAACAACCUAGUGUAGUCCCACAAGUAGAGUCUGGGGAGGGUAGUGUGUACGCAACCUUACUCAUACCUCCCUAACUUCUGAAAGUAGGUAGAGAGGUUGUUUCGGAAGGACCCUCGACCCAAGUGACCGCCUAUAGAAUAAUGGAGAAAAUAACAAUAGCAGUAGCAUUAUUGGCAAAAAACAAAACAAUCAUGGGCUCCUAAAAGUGAAAAAGAAAAAUCUUUAUCUCACAUUUUCAAUCUUCUGUUUGAUUCUUUCUUCAGCAGUGUCAAACUUCUGCUUCUUCUUCUUCCCCUGAACACCAAGUCUUCUAGGAUCUCUCUUGUUGGCAGCUUUUCUCUUCUUCUUCUCCCUCUUCCUUUGCAGCUUCAGCUUCUUCUUUGUCUUCCAUUUCUCCGUCUUUGGUGCCUCCACUUCAUGUUCCUCAAACUUUAGUUUUCCAUCUCUUGUUAUCACAAAAUCCACUCUUCCAUGACUAAAGUUCCUUGAUUCCCAACAGGGGUUUUGUUGGAUUAACCUAUCCUUAAGCACUAACCUUGACAAGUGCAAAAAGUUUUCUGGAUUUCCAAGAAUUGGUCUGAAUAUGGAGACAACAGUGUGAGAUAAUCAAAACUAAAUUGGACAUACUUAAGUGCCUGUUCGCACGCAACAUAAAUUAGAUUGAUUUAAAAUUGAAGUUUUGUUUGUACAUGCAAUUAGAUUGCUUAAGUUGUAUUUUUUCUCAUAAACAUGAAAAAUCCACAAACUGUAAGAACUAUCAAUAUUUUCCCAAUUCCUAUACAAGCUUACCAAAUGAUCAAAUCAUAAUUCACUAACUAAAUAUCAAAAUAUCCAAAGGCACCACAUUGAUAUAUCAUAUAUAUAUAUAUAAAGAUCCACUAGUCAACAAUAGUAAUAACUAUCUCUUUGCGCCAAGCAUGAAUCUUUUUUUGCAAAAUUUAAAAUGUUGAAUCUUUUAAUACAAAAUAUAAACUUAUCAAAUCAUACUUUUUGGAAACUUGAAGUCAUAAUGUAUAUUCAAAGGCUGAUUUGAAAUAGUGAAUCCACAAUCCACAUCACAUAUCCAAAUGCUCAUUUGAACUAAUAAUUUCAUAUCACAUGUUCAAAUGCUGAUUUGAAAUCAUGAUUCCAUAUAACAUGUCCAAUUACCUACUAAGCAUAAUCAAAACUAACUAGAAAAAAAAAGUAGAGAAAUUUUGAAAAAAAUAUAAGCUUUACCUGGAAGAGGUAGAAGAAGAGGAGAGAGGCUUGCUAAGUGAAAGUAAGGCAAGUCUUCGAAAACCUCGAAACAGAGGAUUUGUCAUACGCCGUUCUCCGUUCGCCGUGCAAUAGGGCCGCCGCUGGAUGAGCUACUUCACCGCUCACACCAAAUUCCUCACAUAACUUCAGUCUACUCUAUAUGCACCUCAACUAUGAAAUACCCCUUUUUCCUAUCUUAAACAUGAUAAUAAUUCAAUUAAGCAAUCAAAUAAUUUUAAUUUAUUUUUUUAGUUUAAAUAUUAUGUUUGUUUCAAUUGUUAUUUAAAUUUUAUUGUAUAGUUUAAAUCUAUUAUUAUAUAACCAUGAAAAGAUUCAUGUUGUGUAAUGAUUGAUUUGAUUGAACAUCAUAUAUGUGUUGACCUCCCAAGUAUUGCCCUCAAUUAAUUGAUUUCCUUACCUUAAUAAUUUUUUUUUUUUUUUAUCUUUAUUUAUUAUUUAAUUAUUUUAUUUUAUAUUUUUUCCUAUUUUUACCUAAAAGCUCUAUUCGAUAUCUUAUUUUUUUCUCAUUCAAAUUACGAAUAUAUGAUAUUAUGUAAUGACCGAAAACAAUAGGCAUAAUACAUAAACAUGACAUUUAACUUGACUUCAGCUGACAACUAUGACAUUUAACUUUGGAUGUGCAUAAGUAGACACUUAAACUUGUAUAAAAUUGAAUAAAUAGACACAUUCAUCCUACAUGACACCCUACAUGGAAAUUUCGUGUCCUAUGUGGCGUCCUACAUGUAAAAUGUUACGUAGGACACAUGUGUUUAUUCAUUCAAUUUUAUAUAAGUUUGAGUGUCUACUUGUGCAUAUUCAAAGUUGGAGGGCAUAUUUAUCCCCUGAAGCCAAAUAAAAAGUCUUGUUUAUGUAUUAUGCCAAAACAAUAUAAUCUAUGUAUCUAUUUAAAGUUUAAACAAUAAAUUAUGAUAAAAUAGUAUGAACAAACAAAUUGUAACUUAGGAAAAAAGCAUACCAAACUUUCAUCUACACUAUAUUAAUGGCAUUCUUCUUCUACUCAAUCAAAACAUACAUCACAAACCAAAACCAUUAAUGGCAUUCUUCUUCCCCUCUUUCCUCUUCUUGACUUUUUUCUUACUCCAACAACCACUCUUUUCCACAGCAACUCUACAUGGUACCUCUCUCUUUAAAUCACACCUCAUUACCCAGCUAGACUCUUCUUCCAAGAACAACAAUGCCACCCCAACAACCUAUUUUGAAGUAACCAAACCUAUAAAUCUCCCCAAAAUCAAUCCUUGUUCAUAUUUAGUCCUUCAACAGGACUUUGGUUACACAUAUGGAAAACCCCCUUUUCUUGCAAACUACACACCCCCUUUUAAUUGCCCAUCUCAGAAAUUUUCCAAGAUUGUGCUGGAAUGGAAAGCAACUUGUAAAGGGAGGCAAUUUGAUAGAAUUUUUGGGGUUUGGCUUAGUGGGGUUGAGAUUUUCAGAAGCUGCACUGCUGAACCAAGGGCUAAUGGGAUUGUUUGGACUGUCAAGAAGGAUAUUACAAGGUAUUACUCUUUGCUUAUGAUGAAAAAUCAAAUUCUUGCUGUUUAUAUGGGGAAUUUAGUUGAUAGUACCUAUACUGGUGUAUACCAUGUGGAACUUUUUAUUCAUUUUUAUCCUGCUGAAGAAAUGUAUAGUGAUUAUAAGCGAAAUUCGGAUUAUUCGUAUGAGGCAUUUGAUUCUAGGGCUGAUUUGAUCUUACCUAUUUCGAGAAAUAUGCCAUUGAAUGAUGGAUUGUGGUUUGAGGUUGAGAAUUCUACAGAUGUUCAGUCAAAAGAGUUUGAAAUUCCACAAAAUGCUUAUAGGGCUGUACUGGAAAUUUAUGUUUCAUUUCAUGAGAAUGAUGAGUUUUGGUAUAGUAAUCCACCGAAUGAUUAUAUUCGUGCAAAUAACCUUACUGAUACUUCAGGGAAUGGAGCUUUUAGGGAAGUAGUAGUUAGUGUGGAUGAUGUGGUGGUUGGUGCAGUUUGGCCGUUCACUGUGAUUUAUACCGGGGGUGUCAAUCCUCUCUUGUGGAGACCUAUCAGUGGGAUCGGAUCGUUUGAUCUUCCAUCGUAUGAUAUUGAAAUUACGCCAUUUUUAGGGAAGAUUUUAGAUGGAAAUAUGCAUAAGAUUUCAUUUAGUGUCACGAAUGCUCUUAAUGUGUGGUACAUUGAUGCAAAUUUGCAUCUUUGGUUAGAUGAGAAGAGUAUAAAGACAGAAGGGAAGUUAUUGAAGUAUAGUAGUCUGCCUCUUUCAUUUUCUCUUAUGACAAAUUUUACAGGCAUUGAUGGAUCUUUUGUCACAAAUGCUAGUAGAUCAAUCACAUUGACAGGAUGGGUAAAGUCCUCCUAUGGGAACAUCACUACUAAGUCAGCUCAAGGUUUAAGUUAUAGUAAUUAUAUGGUGGAGGGAAACGGAGGAAAUUUGCAAAAUGUGGAUCAGAUUAUUUAUUUCAAUGAAACUGUUGAUGUUGUGAUGCCAUCUUCAUCUGUCCAGUCUCUUGAGUCCUUUAAAAAGUUUCUGCUUCUCUUGCAUUCUGACGAUGUAGACAAAGGAGACGAAAGCUAUGCCUCAAUCUCAAAUGUUACGCUGGGAUUUAAUGAUAAGAGGGUAAAGACGUCCAAGAACGGAUCAUCAGCCAGCUCUACUGAAAACAUGCAAAAAGCACAGGGCCAUAUUCUUGUAAAGGGCCGGAUAGUAGUCAGCGGGGUUGGGAGUACCCAACAGGUCUACAAAUAUAAGGGCAAUUCAUUCUGCUACUCCAGGAACAUAAGCAGCUCAAAUUACACAAUACACUAUGAUAAAGUUAGCGAUAGUUGCCCCAGAAGCACUUUGUCUCGUUUGCCUUUCAGCUUUGGCAAAUUUCGGUCUGUUCCUGCUCGAAGGGUCUCUUUGGCAUCUCAUCUUGGUGAUGUUAAAGAUGGUGUCUGACAUUGCUCCAAUUCAUUGUCUUCCACUCCUUCAACAUAACAAUUCCUCUAUGUGAACUGCUGUCAAAGAAGUUAUCAACAGUCUUCCAGUUAUGAUUGGAAGGCAAUACUUCUGCAUUGGCUCUUCUGUUUCUUGGGUUUGUUCAGGUUUUCACUUUGUGCAAUAAGAGACAAGUUUCGAACAAUAGCACCACCUUGGCAUUUGUGUUGCUCGGUAUUCCAAGAUUAAAGUGAUAUUACAUGGAUCACCUUUCUUGUACUAACAAUGAAGUGUCUGAAAUUUUAUUUGCUUAUUUUUGUUCCCUUUUUCUCUCUUGAACAUGAAAAUUACGUCAUGACAAAACUUGCAAUUGUUUUUUUUCCACCCUUCUGCCACAUGGAGACAACAACGACAAAAUACCCAGGGAAAUCCCACUAAGUGGGGUCUGGGAGGGUAGAGUGUACGCAGACCUACCUCGAGGAGGCAGAGAGGUUGUUUCGGA
rnacentral:lncRNA from 1 species